rnacentral:rRNA from 1 species
AUUGAACGCUGGCGGCAUGCUUUACACAUGCAAGUCGAAUGGCAGCGGGGAGGAGCUUGCUUCUCUGCCGGCGAGUGGCGAACGGGUGAGUAAUACAUCGGAACGUGUCGAGAAGAGGGGGAUAACCACCCGAAAGGGUGGCUAAUACCGCAUAAAUUCUGAGGAAGAAAGCUGGGGACCUAGGAAUAGGCCUAGCGCUUUUUGAGCGGCCGAUGUCGGAUUAGCUAGUUGGUGAGGUAAAGGCUCACCAAGGCGAAGAUCUGUAGCGGGUCUGAGAGGAUGAUCCGCCACACUGGGACUGAGACACGGCCCAGACUCCUACGGGAGGCAGCAGUGGGGAAUUUUGGACAAUGGGGGCAACCCUGAUCCAGCCAUGCCGCGUGUAUGAAGAAGGCCUUAGGGUUGUAAAGUACUUUUGUUAGGGAAGAAAAGUCAGCUGUGAAUAAUGGCUGAUACUGACGGUACCUAAAGAAUAAGCACCGGCUAACUACGUG